rnacentral:rRNA from 1 species
AUUGAACGCUGGCGGCAUGCUUUACACAUGCAAGUCGAACGGCAGCACGGGGGCAACCCUGGUGGCGAGUGGCGAACGGGUGAGUAAUGCAUCGGAACGUGCCCUGUCGUGGGGGAUAACACAUCGAAAGAUGUGCUAAUACCGCAUACGACCUGAGGGUGAAAGCGGGGGACCGUAAGGCCUCGCGCGAUAGGAGCGGCCGAUGUCUGAUUAGCUAGUUGGUGGGGUAAAGGCCGACCAAGGCGACGAUCAGUAGCUGGUCUGAGAGGACGACCAGCCACACUGGGACUGAGACACGGCCCAGACUCCUACGGGAGGCAGCAGUGGGGAAUUUUGGACAAUGGGGGCAACCCUGAUCCAGCCAUGCCGCGUGCGGGAAGAAGGCCUUCGGGUUGUAAACCGCUUUUGGCAGGAACGAAACGGUGCGGGCGAAUACCCUGUGCUAAUGACGGUACCUGCAGAAUAAGCACCGGCUAACUACGUGCCAGCAGCCGCCGUAAAAC